UCCCACACCUGGGAAGGCAGAGGCCGGGAGUGGGCGGGGCCGAGGCUGUGUUAAACAUGGACACAGGUGCGGCCAGGCCGGGACAAGGGAGGAGCCUUCUUGGUCACUCCUGAGGCACACAUGAAAGGCUGAGCUGAGCAAGCGGAGGUCUGGCUUUCCCCAGGAGCGGACGGGUCAGAGGGAGCCCCUGGCGUGUGGGGUACACCCCAGGAGCGGACGGGUCAGAGGGAGCCCCUGGCGUGUGGGGUACACCCCAGGAGUGGACGGGUCAGGGGGAGCCCUGGCGUGUGGGGUACACCCCAGGAGUGGACGGGUCAGGGGAGCCCUGGCGUGUGGGGUACACCCCAGGAGUGGACGGGUCAGGGGGAGCCCCUGGUGAGUGGGGGUACACCCCAGGAGUGGACGGGUCAGGGGGAGCCCUGGCGUGUGGGGGUACACCCCAGGAGCGGACGGGUCAGGGGGAGCCC